UACGGGGGGAGCAAGCGUUGUUCGGAAUUACUGGGCGUAAAGCGCACGUAGGCGGAUAUUUAAGUCAGGGGUGAAAUCCCAGAGCUCAACUCUGGAACUGCCUUUGAUACUGGGUAUCUUGAGUAUGGAAGAGGUGAGUGGAAUUCCGAGUGUAGAGGUGAAAUUCGUAGAUAUUCGGAGGAACACCAGUGGCGAAGGCGGCUCACUGGUCCAUUACUGACGCUGAGGUGCGAAAGCGUGGGGAGCAAACGGG
rnacentral:rRNA from 1 species